ACACGUAGGGGGCAAGCGUUGUCCGGAUUUAUUGGGCGUAAAGAGCUCGUAGGCGGUUCGGUAAGUCGGGUGUGAAAACUCAGGGCUCAACCCUGAGACGCCACUCGAUACUGUCGAACUAGAGUCCGGUAGGGGAGCAUGGAAUUCCUGGUGUAGCGGUGAAAUGCGUAGAGAUCAGGAGGAACAUCAGUGGCGAAGGCGCCACUCUGGGCUCAUACUGACACUGAAAAGCGAAGGCGUGGGGAUC
rnacentral:rRNA from 1 species